UGCUGUUUCUAAGAAACCAGCCAUAUUUUUAAGAUUUCAGUGGCAAAAGGAAAACUGUAGUCUUUUGGUACUUUGACUAUCUAUUUGGCAACUUUUCCUGGCAUCCAAAACAUCCAGAUUAGGGUACACUAAAUUAUCAUGGGCCUACCCUUCAUUUCAGACCUUUUCCUAAUAUGAAAUUAGCUUCUCUUCAUAAUCGAUGUACAGUUUUUGGAUUUUCAUUAAGCUAUCAGGAUUACCUUAGGAUAAUUUUUCCACUUAGAUCUUAUCAGAUUCUGUAACUCUGUUACAAAAGUAUUUUUAAUCAUUACUUUUGCUUUAUGCCCCCUGGUCAUUUUUUAGCUCAUUACAGCUACAUUUUUUCUCUCCUGAAUUUUUUGGUAUUACCUAAAAACUCAAGCAAUUUACUCUUCAGCCAUAACUAAUCGGGGAAACAAAUGCAGAUUAUAUAAAAACAUAUUAAAAAGUGCAAACUCUGGGGAGUUCCUUUAUUUACAUUUGUCAAAUUUGUUUAUACUUACUGUCUACUUCCUGCUCUUUUACCGAAUAUUAAUCCACUAAUGGGAUCUUACUUGUGAUUAUUGACUUUUUCAGCCCUUCAUUUUUAUGUACAGAAGAUCUUUGCUACCAGAUGCUGAUGCUUUUCAACACUCCAAAUAUUAGUAAAUUGAACUUUUCUCGUCAGAAACCAUGUUUAUUCUUCCUCAGCAAUUUUUUAUUAUUGUAGGUAGUAGUGCAAGCUUUCAUAAUUAACUGGAAGAAAUGUUAGGGAAAUACAUUUAUCUUCUGGCCUUUUUUUUAAUACAAUGAUGUUACUUUGGCUAUCUUUUCAUAUUCGACUAAGGAGACUAAGUUCAAUAAUGAUUUGCUGUGUCACUAAAGUUUUAUUGUGAUGGAUCAGUGGAAUAAUAGCCCCUGCCUUCCAACCCCAAUAGCAUCCAAUCCUUUCUGACUUCAAUUUCUGUUGAAACCUUGACUUAGAGCCAAAACCAUUGCAACUGAAUUAUUCAUUUCCAUCAUCAUUCUAUCUUUCAAGUAAUGAGUAUUCGUUUUCUGUGAUUGUCCUCUUAGCAGCAUCUCAAAUUUACACUAUAACAUAUCAAAGGGGGAGUUCUAGAACUAGAAUGGAGUUACUGGUUCCCACUGAGUUUUAUAGAACACAAGUGAAGGGUCAAACCAUGAAUCUUAUCUCAUAUAUUAAAAUAAUUAAUAGCAGAUUUGUCCCCACCCUUUCACAAUGGUGCCUCAGAAUUGUUUCCUCUUUCUCUUAGGGGGCAGAAUUAUGAGUAUAGUAAUAUUCAUGUGCCUGAAUUCUCCAGAAUCCUUCAGCAGGGACAUUUUAGCAUAAAACAUGCAAAAACACAUUUCAUACUUGCAGCCCUAGAUUCCUGCAUUGUAGUUAAUUUAUUUUUAAAUUAUUAACAUGAUUUAUAUACCAUUCUAAAAGCUUUGAACUGUGUUCCAAAAAAAAUCUGAUAUAAAAGCUACUUUCUAUUUGUACACUGUCAUAACAAUGACAAUCCUUGAGCAGAAAGUACAUCAAUGGCCCAAUUAAAAAGAAAGGUCUUGGGAGAUUCCCUAAACACCAAGAGUGAGAAAGUCAAGCAUAUCUCCAAGCGUAGCCCAUUCAACAGGAUGGAGCCUGCCUUCUGACCCAUACCUAUCUGUCUUCAUAUGGGUUGUGAUCUUAAGGAGGAGCUCUUUGAUCUGAUGAACAAAGAAAAGAAUUUUGGAUAAGGAGGUCCCUGAGACAGCCCAUUGAACCACUGGAUUAAGAGCCUCUUACUAAUAACAAAUUACAAACAUGGGGCUGAUCAGAAGAUCGAUAGAAAAUUUGUAAAAGGUUAAGCAUAAUAAUUGCAUAUAAAGCUGUAUAAAAAGCUUUUUUCUAGGCUCCAAAGUUCUGAAGGAGUACUAUGAUUUUUGGCCAGUUUCCCAUAAUUGUAUAACAACCUUCCCCUUAGUUUAGCAGAACUUCAUCAAUGGAAUAUAGCAAUGUUGACAAAAAUUUAAACUGAUUCAGCCACCUCACUCAAGCUAAGCAAUACUCACCUGAUUGAAGAAGAAAGCCUUCCCUUUAGGCUAACAUAAGAGUGAAACUGUUGCUUCAUCUACUUUUACUUUUCAUCCAUAUAGUUACUAGUGCAAGAUGGAUCUACCUAUCUGAUAUAAAAUAAUCCAGUCUUUUUUUGGCUCAACUCAUUUCUCUUAUCUAAAAUACUAUGUGUGUUUGGUUGCAUCCUUAUGAGUGCAACUGAUGGGACCUGAGAUCCAAAAGCCCUAAGAGUUCAACCAUUAAAUGGGACAUUUAUAUCCUUGACCUUUUUGGUAGGGGAUAAUAGGUCAUAGUUCUGGAGAUGCUAGAUUGGGUAAAUCUGAAAAGUUCUGCAUAAUCCUUUCUAAACUGAACAGGAAUAUCAGUGAGUAGAAUUUUCUUGGCUAUAUGUGACAUCUAUAGCAGCAUCUGAAAUUCUCUUUCUGUGAAAGUCCUUUUCCUUCCCUUUCCCUUUCUGAUAUUUGUGAUGAUGAUACUGGAAUAUUGGUAAGUAUUUUCUUAAGUAGAACUACAGAAGAAUUUAUACAUGACUACUCAUGUGGAAUUCAAGUAGAAAGCCAAACUGAGCAUUUUCUUUCAACAGAAAGCUCAUGCAAAACAAAUUUGCACUGAAGUGUGCUUUUUUGAAAGGGUACUUGGGUGAAGUGCAAGGAAUAUGAACAACACUUCUAACAGCUGAAAGGAUGAAACUCGGUUGUAAACCCCACUAAUACACGCAAGGUUAAAAUAGAAGGUGGGAACAUCCUUGAUUUUGAAAGAAGUUGAGGUGAGAUUUCUGAGUGGGUGAUUAUAAGCUUAGCGGGCCAUGCUCUAGCUGGCCCAUUAAAUUGCACUACAGGUGUUACUGGUUCUUUUAUCUCAUCCUCAGAUUAUAAAUCCUAGGACAUAGAGACAUCAUUUUUAAAAAAUUGAAUUAAGAUGAGUUAAUGAUGUGACUCAUGCUGACUUGUGGGAGUGAAUCAGCUGUCACUCAACACAUAGUCACCCCAAAAUAAUACCCUGCCAAACAUUGAGGUGUACAGCUUCAUUUCAGAAAGGAAAGCCCAUGUGCCUGUGUAACACAACAUACAUUAUUCAUCUUAUCUUUUGAUAUCAGGUAUUGCAGCUUUUAGAAGCCAUUAAAAAUGCCCAGGCAGUGUGCAUUUUCUGUCAGUUGUAUUUUUGGGUACAAACCACAGGACCAUUUUUCAUAUUCCAUCAGUAGGCCAUUUUGCUUGCUUGCAGUAUUACUUUUAACAGCCAAUGAUGUGCGUUUAUUUUGAACCUGGUGGAGCUGAAAUUUUUUGUAAGAAUAUAAAGAAUGAAACUGAAGCAUUUAGUCUGUCUUAACUAUACUGUUUUCAGUGCUUUUUCACCAAUGUGGUAGGACAGUAUUUUCUGCAGGCUCCAUUACUGUGCAAAUUAUCUGGUACUCAAAUUUCACAGCCCGUGCUAAUCCCACCUUUGAGGCAUGGUACCAGGGAGGGGUAAGACUGGCAGCACGCAUGAGUUGCAGGAGACGUGGCCAUGAAGUCCCUUCAUCUCUGUCAAGGUUCAUUUUUAGAAACUGGUGUUUAAGCUAAAAGUGAUGUGUGGGUGUUUCUCUGUGUGUUUGUGUGAGAGAGACAUAGAUUAUUUUCCAAGGUAAAAGGCACUAUGUCUUUCUGUUAGAAUGACUGAAAGACACUUCUCUGACUUCCACAUUGUAUCCUGCAGGAUUGAAACCACACACAGCCAUUUAGGUAAAUUAAGAGAUUUUGGCAGGGAUAAUAUUUUUUCCUUCUUUCUCUCCCCCCCCCCCCCAUGCAAUACAUUUGAUAUGAUUGAAAAGAAUUUUAAGAGCUUAUAAGUAAUAUAUUUUAAUUAAUAUAUAUUUUAAUACCUCUAUUUCAAGAAUGAUAAAAGAUUUGUGAAAUUGGUGUAUGUAUGUGUAUGUGCGCAAUUUUGAACGUGUUUCCCCCCCAUUAGGGGACCUGGUAAGCACCCCAGGUUGCAAUAAAAAUUGAAGAACUGUUAAAAAAAAGGUGUCCCAGGAACUGUUUCAUUUUUAUAAGCCAAGAAGU